CAGCCGCCGCGGUAAUACCGGCGGCCCGAGUGGCGGCCACUAUUAUUGGGCUUAAAGCGUCCGUAGCCGGGUUGGUUAGUCUCCCGGGAAAUCUGGCCGCUUAACGGUCAGAAUUCCGGGAGAUACUGCCAGCCUAGGGACCGGGAGAGGCCGAGGGUAUUCCCGGAGUAGGGGUGAAAUCCUAUAAUCCCGGGAGGACCACCUGUGGCGAAGGCGCUCGGCUGGAACGGGUCCGACGGUGAGGGACGAAGGCCAGGGGAGCAAACCGGAUUAGAUACCCGGGUAGUCCUGGCUGUAAACGAUGCGGACUUUGUGUCGGACAAGCUAUGAGCUUGUCCGGUGCCGGAGGGAAACCGUUAAGUCCGCCGCCUGGGGAGUACGGCCGCAAGGCUGAAACUUAAAGAAUUGGCGGG
rnacentral:rRNA from 1 species